UGAAGUUCAAGGCCAGUCCAGGCAAGAAAGACAAUGCAAUAGAAUGUAAUUAGAGCUAGUAGUUCCUUCCAGGUUUUGGUGGAUCAUCUUGUACACCCUGGCAUUCUCCAGCAGGAGGCUAGACAGAACCAUCGGACCCAGAUGGGAAGGAAACAGCAGCCAUAGUAGUGUCAAUUCACCGUUCUAAUUAAAAAGAAUAAAGAAAAAUGGAGUGUGAGGAGAAAUUGUUUCAAUUCAAUAUGCCAAUUUAUGAAUAUAAUACAUCUUGAUCAAUAUCAUCUCUUCCAUCAUUCUCCUGCAAGGAACUAUUUUGAA